CAUUUGUCAUUAUAUAAUAUUUUCAUAUAAUAAGUUCUUAUCGUCUACUAAAGGCACGUUCUCUUAUCUUAGGGUUUUAGGGUUGGAAAUUGCGUUGUGGUUGGUUUGGGAUUUUCAUUAAUGAUGGAGGCAUAACUUGCAAAUCUAAGUCUUGAUGAUGAAAAGGAGGAACUGAUUCCUUGUGAAAAAGCUCCGAUCGAAAUAGAAGGUGACUAUCAAUUUUUCUUGGUAGGAAAAGCUUUAAUGUAAUGUGCGGUUCACUUUCCCUUUCUGAAAAGAACUUUGGCUAAUCUUUGACAUCUGUUGGGACGGGUUACAAUCACGGAUAUAGGGGAAAAAAGGGCAUAGGGAAGGUUUUUUUUCCCUAUAAGGAUGACAAUCAAGAUUCAAGAAGUAAAUUUUGGCUGGGACAUAACUUUAAGGGUAUCAUCAUGGAAAGAAGUUUCAAUUGGAAGUAGGAGGAUGGUUCGAAGGGAUUUCAAGAAGGUAUUAAUUCCCAUGGCAUAGAUAUGGAUGAUCAGAAUAAUAGGGGAAAAGAAGGAGGUGUGAUUAUUCAAGGUGCGUGGAAACAAGGUCAGAGGGAGUCUAUAAUGGAGAAUAAGCCAAUUGAAAAUUAUGAAGGGAAAAAGAGAUAAAGAAUACUGGAAGAAUAAUCAAAUGGGUAUGGUGUUAUUGGUUUACUGAUUAAAUUCAAUAAGAGAUCGGCAGCCACUAGCAAGCGAACCGACCGGGAGUAAUGAAAAUCUUAAGUUGGAAUGUUCGUGGAUUGGGACAUCCACGGACGGUUAAUUGCCUUAGAAACAAGGUGAGGCAUGUACAACCCCAUAUUUUGUUUCUAAUUGAAACAAAGUUGAGUGAAAAAAGAAUGGAAAAGGUUUAACUAAAAUGUGGUUUUGCUAACGUUAUUGAUGUGGGAGCGUAUGGGUUAAAAAUGGGUUUGUCAAUUGGUUGAAAAAGGGAGUAUGUGUUGUAAUUGAGAAGCUUUUCAACUAAUCAUAUUGAUAUGGAGGUAAAGGAAUGAGAGGGUAUGCCAUUGUGGAGGUUUAUAGGGUUUUAUGGCGCACCUGGGGAACACAAAAGAAGAGAAUCGUGGGAACUUUUAAGGAGGUUAGAGAAUUAUUGAGAUUUGCCAUGAAUGGUCGUGGGAGACUUUAAUGAGAUUAUGUUCUCGUUUGAAGAAAAAAGGGGUUGAUUGCGGAAUGAAAGAAACAUGGCUCAUUUCAGAGAAGUGUUGGAGGAUUGUGAUAUUAGCAAUUUGGGUUUUUUGAGGAGAUGGUUCAUAUUGAAGAGAGGUCGGUUGCUAGAAAAUAACGUUUGUAAGAGAAUUAACAAAGGGGUGGCAAAUUUGACAUGGUGGGAGAAUUUUCCAGGGUAUUAUUUAAAAUAUUAGACGCAUGCUAUAUCAUAUCAUUGUCCGAUUUUGGUAGGUUUGGGGAUUAAUUGUAGAUGGCACAAAGCGAGAGGGAAUAGGGGAUUUAGAUUUAAUGCAAAUUGAGUCAUGGAGGAUGAGUGUGAACAAAAAAUUAAUGAGUUUUAGGAGGGGAUUUCAAAUGAUGUUCCUUCGAAGUUGAGGAAAUUAGGAGAUCUUCUUAAAGGUGAAUUGGGACAAAUUACUGCCAAUAAGAGGAAAGCGUCAACAAUAUAAAUUAUGAGAUUGGCUAACUUGAGCACAGUUGACCUAGAGGAUGAAAUAAUAGUAGAGAUAGAAGAGGUCAAGUUGGCUCUAAAUCUAGAAGCUAGUAAAGGAAAGAUGUUUCGAGAGUAACAAGCAAGGGCGAACUGGCUUCGGUUUGGAGAUAGAAAUACAUCUUUUUUUCAUAAUCUAGUAAACCAACGAAAAUAGAGGAAUACUGUGAAAGAACUAAAACGGCUGAAUGAGGAAUGGUUCGUUGGAGAGAGGGAGAAGGCAAGAGUGGAAAAUGAAUAUUUCAAGGAGCUGUUCACAGCUUCAGACACGAGGAGUAAUGAUAGAGUGUUUUCGGGGAUAACGAAUUACAUUCAGGAGGGUAUGAACAUUGAGUUAGUUGAGAAGUUUAAACUCAAAAAAGUGAGGGAAACAGUAAAUAGUACAACACCUUUAAAGGCAUCAGGUAUGGACGAAUAUCUUGUACUUUUUUAUCCAAAAUAUUGGCAUAUUAUGGGAGAUGAGAUAACUAGAUAUUGCUUAGACGUUUUGAAUAGGAGAAAUGAGAUUGGCAUUAUCAAUAGUACUAGUAUAGUGCUUAUCCUAAAAGUGAGUUCACCAACCUGUAUGUCGCAAUUCAGGUUGAUUAGUCUAUACAAUGUGUUGUCUAUAAUUAUAUCCAAAGUGGCAGUUGAUAGAUUUAGAACAGUGUUUGAUAAAUGUAUUGACGAGGCACAAGUGACAUUUUUACUUGAAAGGAAAAUUACGGAUAAUGCGCUAAUUGCAUAUGAGGUGCUACAAUCCUGAUACAGAAAAGAGAUGGGGCAUAGAGUCACUUUUUUUUUUUUGAAAUUAGACGUGAGUAAAGCCUAUGAUAGGGUGGAAUGGAAUUUCAUUGAACAAGUUAUGAAACGCAUUGGGUUUUGUGACAAUUGGUUAUGCUUAGUAAUGGAGUGUUUCAACCGGUGAAAUAUUCAAAUUUGUUCAAUGGGGUGCAAGGGGAAAAAUUCAAACCUUCAAGGGUUUUGAGACAGGGCGAUCCACUCAGUCCAUAUUUUUUCCUAAUUUGUGCGGAGGUUUUUCUUCUCUCCUUAAAUUGGCAAAAACUGAAGGAAUCAUCAAAAGAGUAGGGAGAAGUGGGCUAUCAUUAGCUCAUCUACUUUUUUGUAGUUGAUAGCAUUUUGUUUGGGGAAGCAAGUGUGAAAGGUGCAAAUGCUAUUAAAUAAUAGUGAUCGAAUAUGAAAGGGUAUUGGGUCAAUUGAUCAAUUUUGAAAAGUCGUUGAUAUUUUUUUAUAGUAAUGUGUCAAGCAUCAGAAGGGAUCAGAUUGGGACAUCUGUCGGGGUAAGGGUCUCUAGUAACCCAGAAAAAUACCUAGGUCUACUGACUAUGACUAGAAGACGAAAGAAGGAGGUGUUUUUUAGAGAUAGAUUUAGAUAACGCAUUGAAAUUUGGAGUAUGCGCUAAUUGUCACUUGGAGGUAAAGAAGUCUUUAUUAAAGCAAUUUUAAAAGCCAUUCCAAUUUAUACGAUGUAAUAUUUUUUGUUGCCUGUUACAUUAUGUCGUGAAUUGAAAGUUAUUAUUAGUAAAUGUUAGUGGAGAAAUUCUAAAAUAGGAAUAAAUUUUAGUAGAGAAAUUCUAAAAUAGGAAAGGGAAUUCAUUGGUGUGGUUGGAGGGGAAUGUGCAAGCCGAAAGCACAAGGGGAAUUGAGAUUUAGGGAUUUGGCAAAGUUCAAUAUAGUGUUGCUUGCAAAACAAGGUUGGAGGUUAAUUAUGAAACUGGAUUGUUUGUUUGCAAAACAAGGUUGGAGGUUAAUUAUGAAACCAGAUUGUUUGUUUGCCCGUAUCUUUAAAGCCAAGUAUUACCCAAAAUGUGAUUUUAUGAGUACUAGUUUAGGUUCUCACCCAUCUUAUAGUUGGAGGAGCAUUUGGGGAGCAAGGAGACUUCUGGAACUAGGUAUGGGAUGGAGAGUUGGAAAUGGCAUAUCAAUAAAUAUCUAGAAUGAUGUUUGGUUACUAGGGCCUAGACAUGGAAAAGUAAUGGUUCAAAAUAUUGAUAUUAAUUAUUCAACAGUAGCAGAUCUUUUUGAUAGAGAGACGACUACCUGGAAGUUGGAGGCCUUAAGGAAGCUCUUUGUUAAGGAUCAAGUAAAUAAAAUACUGACAAUCCCAGUAGCUGAAGUUGAUCUUGAAGAUGAAAGGGUGUGGAGGGGGGACAAGACAAGUAUGUUUUUGACAAAAAAGUGGAUACAAGUGGCUGCUUAAUGAAGAUGUAACAACAACACAUGGGGGAAGUGACACAACAAGCUACGCUAUUACAGAAUUUUUGUGACAAAUUAUGUAAGUUACAAGUUGCAAACAAAAUUAAAAUUACAACAUGGAAAAUCGCUAAUAACUAUAUCCCUACAUUUGACAAUUUACGAGUGAGGAAAUUGCAGGUGGUGAAUAUUUUCCCUCUCUAUAGUACAUUGGAGGAAUCAGUGAGCCACACCUUUCGGGACUGCAUGUUUAUCAAAAGUGUCCUGCAAGGAGUGGGGAUUGAUGUCUCCCUCAGCAUUUAAGGACAGUUGGAAAACAUGGUUAGCAAAUAUGUUUGUUUGUACAGGAGAGGAGCAAUGCAAAUAGUUAAUUAUUGUGUUCUGGGCGGUUUGGCAUUACAGAAAUAAGGUUUACCAUGAAGGUGAAAAAUAGAGCAUAAUAGGUCUGGUUACGCUUAUUAAAGCAUAUUAUACAGAGAGUACCUUCACAGAGUUGGUGAUUUCAUUAAAUAUAAGUCAGAAUGAUAGUACAUGGACUCCAUCAGGACUAAAUGAAGUUAAAUGCAAUUUUGAUGCGGCUUUCAACAGGUGCAUGUUUAGUUCGAUGUCUGGGAUAAUCUUUAGAAAUAAUGAGGGGUAUAUUUUGGCAACUUGUACUUACUCGAACAGCUUUGUGGCUGAUGCAACCACGACUGAGGUGAGGGAUUGCUUACAAGCGGCGACGGUGGUUGAAGAGUUAGGAUUCCGAAGACUUCUUAACAAUUAUUAAAAAAGCCCGAUCAUUAGAGGAGGCCAGAUCAAACAUUUCUAUAAAGGUUGUACCUGUAAACCAACCCCCUAAAGCAAAAUAGGCACAAGAAAAGAACAAUAGGCUAGACCAACCUACAAAAACAAAACGAUCAUUCAUAUCAAAUAAAUCAUUUUCAUCUUUAGUAAAUUUAUCAAGAGCUAUAGUCGUAACAA